rnacentral:sRNA from 1 species
AACGCGGGGGCGCCCGCCGGGCUGUCCGGAGCGGCCGAUGGGGCCCGUGUGAGCGCGCCCAGGCCCAGCCCGGUGCCCGGCGGGCGGCAGCAUGUCCGCGGGCGGCAGCUCCAGGAAGAGCACCGGGAGGUCCUCCUACUACUACCGGCUGCUGAGGCGACCCCGGCUGCAGCGACAGAGGAGCCGCUCCCGCAGCCGGACCCGGCCUGCCAGGGAGUCGCCUCAAGAAAGGCCGGGCUCUCGGCGCAGCCUGCCCGGCAGCCUCUCCGAGAAGAGCCCCAGCAUGGAGCCCUCGGCCACCACGCCGUUCCGGGUCACGGUAACUAUCUCUGCGUCACCACCACCGCCACUGCCACCACCAUCACCACCUCGCCCGGGGUGCU